UACGUAGGGUGCAAGCGUUAAUCGGAAUUACUGGGCGUAAAGCGUGCGCAGGCGGCUUUGCAAGACAGAUGUGAAAUCCCCGGGCUCAACCUGGGAAUUGCAUUCGAGACUGAAUAGCUAGGGUACGGUAGAGGGAAGUGGAAUUUCCGGUGUAGCGGUGAAAUGCGUAGAUAUCGGAAGGAACAUCAGUGGCGAAAGCGACUUCCUGGACCAGUACCGACGUUCAGGCACGAAAGCGUGGGGAGCAAACAGGA
rnacentral:rRNA from 1 species